CUUCUUCUGGGCAGUCGUCACUCAGGGAUCCAGGCUGAUGGAGGCUCUGUCGUCUUCAACACUUGAGUUCCUCUCAAUCUCAGCCGGCUGGAUGAGCCAAGGAGCUGCUGUGUGGGAGGCUGUUAUGGGCUGGGCUUGAAAGUGAUGCAGAUGGGAAAACUGGAGCUGAGAAGACAAAUCCAGCAUGAGCCAGAGGGCCCUCUGCUUCGCGGGUCAGGAGAAAGCAACCGCUUGAUUUUGGGUUUGCCCCUCAGACUGCAGAGCUCCGGGUCACCAGCCUAAACCGCUUAAUGCACAUUACGCCUGGGUCUACUUGGAAAUGGCUGAAGGCACUUAAAUGGAAUGCCCAACCUUUGUCCUCAGCCCUGAAACCACAGAUUCAUAUUCCAAGAGAGCAUCUGAGCAGCCUGACUGGGUCACAUGGCCGUCUCUUGACCUGGAAGGACGGGGCACCAUGAUGGACGGUUCCACUGAGAAGGGAAAUGGAGAGGAAAGCUAGUUCUCCAAAGGAAUACAGAGGUAGAGUAACUACAGAAGGGGACGGCAAAUACAUAUUUCUACUAUAGAACUUUGUUUUUGACUUUGUGGUUUGACUGAUUGUUUUCUCCAAACAAGAGUGGCCAAUCUAACAGUGUUUUAUGAGAUUGUGGGGCCUGCGCAGGACUUUGAAGGGCCAUCAAGCACGUGGCUUGGUUAUCUACCCAAGCCAGAGAGCUGUCUGUCAUUUUCUGAGAAUCUUCCCAGACUCCUCUGAGAAGAUGGUCUAACUUUUAAAUCCUUACAAACAAGACCAGUUCUCUCUUCCAGGGAGAUAUUAAAUACCCGACAACCAGUAUACCAUGGGAGUGAGCUAACCAAAACUGUAAGAGUGGUAAACAACCCAUAGGACCAAACUGAUCCACGCCAACCGACCGUCUGUCCAGUGUCUCCUUAACCUAAGUGGGACGUUGAAAGCCUGUCCUUCUGAUCUCUACAAUAGAUGCCCAUAACAGCUCCUCAUUCCCUGGGAGAAGUACCGGGGUCUUCUUUCCUGAGUUUUCACAGACCCAUGGCUUUGUCAGGGACUUAAAAAUUUAGUGUGCCAACUGUAUGAUGGAUGCUGCCUUCUUAACAGAGCUGCACAUAAAUGCCAUGCAGUCUGCUGCUUUUUCCUGUGUAUUAAACUCUGGAGUCAUCCUGCCUGAGUUUAAAACCCAGCUCUACUACUUACUGGCUCUGUGGCCUCAAGUAAGUGGCUUACCCUCUCUGAGCCUACCUCCCCACCAUUUUCCCUCCUCCACUAUCAAGCAAAUUCCAGACACCGUAUCAUUUCAUCCAUAAAUACAUUACUAAAUGAUAAGGACUCUUUUUAAAAGGUAACCAGAGUACCAUAAUUCUUUUAUAUCAUCAAGUGGCUGUUCCUCAUUUAUGGUUCUUAUAGAAUAUCUUAAUUGUUUUCUUAGGAAAGUAGUAAUUUCUUUUUUCCUCAACAUAGUACCAUAAGCAUUUUACCAUGCUGUUAAAUAUUCUUCUAAAAUGUAAUAUUUAGGGGCACCUGGGUGGUUCAGUUGGUUAAACAUCCGACUCUUGAUUUUGGCUCAGGUCAUGAACUCACAGUUCGUAAGUUCAAGCCCCACAUCAGGCUCUGUGCUGGCAGUGCAGACCCUGCUUGAGAUUCUCUUUCCCUCUCUCCCUGCCUCUUCCUGUCCCCCCCCCAUAAUAAACAAAUAAAUUUAAAAAACAAAAUAAAAUGUAUGAUUUAAGCAUGCAUGAUAUUAAUGAAUCAGUUAAUUUAUUGAGCCAAUCAUGCUUUCAGAUAUUUAUGUUAUUUCCAAAUUUUCACUAUUAAAAAAGGCUCUGAUUAACAUCUGUGGUAGACCCUGGGUGUCUCAAAAUAUCCAUAUUCCCCUUAUUCUUUAGGAUAGAACCCCAAAUUUACUUGGUGUGACAAAAGAUAAGCUAAAAAAUUUUCAUUUCCCAGCUUCUCUUGCAAUUAGCUGAGGCCAAAUGAGACAGAAAUAGACAUUGCAUGGGGUCUCUGGGAAGGCUGCUGGGAGGAAAUUGAUUGGGCUGGUAAGUGCUUUUUUUUUGCCCUCCUCCCCCUCCUUCUUCCUGCCGCCUAGAACACAAGUAGAGCUCGUAGUGGUCCAACACCAUCUUGAACCAUUAAAAUGGAUGAUACACUCUAAGGUGACAGAGCAGGAAAAAAAGCAGCUUGAAUCUCUAACGACCCUCAAGUCAGAGGUCUGUUUCCCUCCAGACCUCCUUUAGAUGAAAAAGUAAAAACUCCUUUAUUUUUUUAAAAUUUUUAUUUAUUUGUUUUUGAGAGAGAGAGAGAGGUGACGGGAAGGGCAGAGAGCGACGGAGAGAGAGAGAAUCCCAAGCAGGCUCCGCACUGUCAGCCCAGAGCCCACCGCAGGGCUUAAUCUCACAAACCGUGAGAUCAAGACAUGAGCUGAAAUCAAGAGUCAGACGUUCAACCAGCUGAGCCAUCCGAGUGCCCCAAUAAUUCUUUUAUUUAAGCCACUGUAAAAGUUCAUCGUUUAGCAUGAAGCCUUGAGACUGGCAUAUGCUGGUCUUCACACAUGGUGUGGCUGGAGCAGAGUUAUGGAGUAGAAAAGGAGCUACACGUAUGAGGUUGGAGAGGAGUCUGGCAGGCCACGGUGAAGAUAUCCAUCCUGAGUGUGCUACGUGCCUCACGAUGGCAUGAACCUUCUAGAGUUAUUCCAAGGGAGUUACAUGAUGGUAUCACCACAUUGCCUGCCCCAUGGCAAGCAUUUACUACGUGGUGGUUGUCAUUAUUGUUAUUACUAAUGACAGGGCAAUAGUGUUGAAAGAGAAUGGGACCAGGAGUCAGAGAAGUAGGGCUCCAUUACUGCUUUUGGAAGUUGCCAAUCUCAAGACACUAGCCAAGUAUCUUUGCUUCUUAUGAUUUCAGUUGUGUCAUAUGUAAAAUGUAUACAAGACCAGGUAGAUGACUGUCAAAUUUAUGUUAGCCUCAAAACCUGCUGCUCAAAUGGAAUAUUGCAUAAGUCAAACAUGCCCCAUAGACACAAGCAGAGUGAUUGUGGUAGGGGUGGACAUUGCUCAAUACUGUUGCUACUUGCUGGGUCUUCUCUUCCGUGGUGAUCCCUCAGGAGGCUUCUCAAGGCGCUGCUUAAAAACCACUAGACUGAGGGGCACCUGGGUGGCUCUGUCAGUUCAGCAUCUGACUUCGGCUCGGGUCGUGAUCUCACAGCUCCUGGGUUUGAGCCCCGCAUUGGGCUCUGUGCUGACAGCUCAGAGCCUAUAGAGCCUGCUUCAGAUUCUGUGUCUCCCUCUUUUCUGACCCUCCCCUGCUCACACUCUGUUCCUCUCUCCUUCAAAAAUAAAUAAACAUUAAAAAAUGGUUUUUAAAAACCACUAGACUGAGGCUGGACAUCAUUAGACACUAGGGAAAUGCAAAUCAAAACCACAGUGAGACAGAGCACAGAGGAUUUUUAGGGCAGUAAAGCUACUCUGUAUGAUGCUACAAUGGUGGUACAGGUGUCAUUGCACAGUUGUCAAAAUCCAGAGGAUAUACAACAUGAAGAGUGAGCCCUGAUGCAAGCUAUGGACUUUGAGUGAUGAUGGUGUGUCAGUGUGAUGUCAUCAAUUUUGGAAUGCACCACUGUGGUGGAGGGUUUCGGUAGUGGGGAAGCUUGUGCAUGUGUGGAGGCAGGGGUAGAUGGCAACACUCUGGACUUUCUACUCAAUUUUGCUAUGAACCUGAAACUGCUUUAAAACAUUAAAAAUUAAAUUUACAAAAUUUAAGUUUAUUAAUUUAAAAUAUUUUUCGUAAAAAAAAAAAACCACAGCGAGAUACCAUUUCAUACCCACUGGGUGGCUAUAAUUAAAAAAAAAAAAAAAGACGAAACAAAUGGUGGAAAAUAACAAGGAUUAGCAAGAAUGUGGAAAUUGGCUGGAACCCCCCCCCCCCCCCCCCCGAUUUGCUGGUAGAAAUGUCAAAUGGCUCAGCCACUUUGGAAAACAGAUCAACCAUUCCUCAAAAAGCUAAACAAAGAAUUACCAGGUGGCCCAGCAAUUG